rnacentral:misc_RNA from 1 species
AUGGAAAUAUCUUUUAUAUACUCUAUUUUUUUUUUUCUAGAUUGGAGGAGGUGUUUCCCAAUCAAACAAUAGCCAAAAACAAUCAAUAAUGAAAUAAACCAUGUAUUUUAAGAAGUGCAGGCCAUAAUAUCAUAUCACUUUUUAGUUCCGUAAUUGAGGACUAAAAAGCGAUUUCAAUUAAAAAGCAUAAAGCAAUUUUUGUAAAACCUUUUUCACCCUCGUCAAUUAUACGGCACAACAGCUUCAACAUAAUAUGCUUUGUCAUAGCAUCCAAUAAUUACUCAAGUAGUAUAACAGAAACAUCAAAGAAACCAACAUAUAUGCCAUAUGCCAUAUACUUGUGCAAAUUUUUUAUUGAACUGUUCCUUCUUGUAUUUUUCAUAGAUUGAUAUAAUUCAAGUAUUACAAGCUUCCCCCCACCCCAAGUCCGCAAACAAAAGCACUUAUCAAAAACCACAUUCUCACUCCAUUAUACUUAUAGUUUAUACAAGCACAUAGAGAACCUUAUGCUUUCAUUUACAAUAACACUAAAACACACUUAAUAGUGCUCAAGAAGUAUCAAAUAUGAAUUUCGAAUUUGCUAGGUUAAAGGUGCAUCAGAUGCAUAUAGAAAUAAAGCAGCAUUGUUGGUUUUCCAAUACAAACACAGAACAGUUCAAUUUUUGGGGAGAAGUAUGCUGUGCAUACCAUGGUUUUAAAUAACAGCCAU